rnacentral:rRNA from 1 species
UACGUAGGGUGCAAGCGUUUGUCCGGAAUUAUUGGGCGUAAAGAGCUUGUAGGCGGUUUGUCGCGUCUGCUGUGAAAUUUCGGGGCUCAACCCCGAACUUGCAGUGGGUACGGGCAGACUAGAGUGUGGUAGGGGAGACUGGAAUUCCUGGUGUAGCGGUGAAAUGCGCAGAUAUCAGGAGGAACACCGAUGGCGAAGGCGGGUCUCUGGGCAGUAACUGACGCUGAGGAGCGAAAGCGUGGGGAGCGAACAGG